rnacentral:rRNA from 1 species
GACGAACGCUGGCGGCGUGCUUAACACAUGCAAGUCGAACGGAAAGGCCCUGCUUUUGUGGGGUGCUCGAGUGGCGAACGGGUGAGUAACACGUGAGUAACCUGCCCUUGACUUUGGGAUAACUUCAGGAAACUGGGCUAAUACCGGAUAGGAGCUCCUGCUGCAUGGUGGGGGUUGGAAAGUUUCGGCGGUUGGGGAUGGACUCGCGGCUUAUCAGCUUGUUGGUGGGGUAGUGGCUUACCAAGGCUUUGACGGGUAGCCGGCCUGAGAGGGUGACCGGCCACAUUGGGACUGAGAUACGGCCCAGACUCCUACGGGAGGCAGCAGUGGGGAAUAUUGCACAAUGGGCGGAAGCCUGAUGCAGCAACGCCGCGUGCGGGAUGACGGCCCUCGGGUUGUAAACCGCUUUCGCCUGUGACGAAGCGUGAGUGACGGUAAUGGGUAAAGAAGCACCGGCUAACUACGUG